ensembl:lncRNA
AUGUUGGAGCUAACACUGGCACAGAAGAUGAAGGUGAAGACAAAGGUCAGUAAAUGCCUCAGGAAUGUUGGUAAAUCAUCCACAGAGGGCUGUAAACAUACUGAGAUGGAUCCACAACUUAAUUCAAUUUUAUAUUAUUUAUAUAUGCUGAUAUCUGUCUGUCUGUCUCUCUUGACAAACCAUUUUUCAUUCUACAUUUCAGAAGAAACACCAAACACAGCUGUCCAACAGGGAGACACAGGCCAGGAAACAACUCAAAGAGAUGCAGAUGUGGAACAUGGAGUCACACCUGGCACAGGUCAGCAACUUCCUCACAGAGAAAACAACGACAGAUCCAGAUUUCCAACAGGGAGACACGUCUGACACAGGAUGGGGGAAUACUGUUACUGCAUGGGUGAGCCAAAAAGGUGGCCAGGCUGUGGCUCAAAGUGGACGAAAUGGAACUGGAGUAUGAAGAACAGACCCUCUGUUAGCUUGUUGUGGUUCAUACACUGUAAAGUAUGUGGUGUAACUAUGAUACCAUAAACAUGAAGAUGCAGCUUUGCUUUGACCUUCCUCUGCUCACAGCUGAACAACCUCAGCCAGCUGUUUCUCUAACAUUAGAAGCUCAUAAUGAUGAUGAUCCAGAGUGUGUUGUUGCUCAGUGUUGUUCCCGGUGCUGCUGUGCUGUUUCCUUGUGUUCUGAUGGAUCUCCAUCUAUAGCCGUGUGCUGAAGCCUGAGUGUGUUAUCCAUAUCAGUGUGACAUGAACUGUAAUCUGAAUGUAUUGUAAAGGUUCAUUAGAACAAACUUACUGCAUGUUUAUAUUUAUUUAUUCAUUGAAUAUAGAAGUGUUGAACUGUGAGGUAAAAGGAAAACUUUAACAUUGAUUCCUUCUCUGUGUAAAGCUGGUAUCAUGCGUUGUCUUCAUGUAAAGUUUUAAUAUCAGAUAUACUCAACUGUACGUGUUAUUCUAUGUAUUCUGUAACCAUUACGAUAGAUGACAUGUUUCUAUAAAUGACUCUGUGAUUGUUGCUGUUGUGAUGUUUUGUUUUUUGAUCCUCUGCAAACACAAAGACCACCUGUUUGUGUAAAUCAGUGUUUCCCAUGAAACAAACUUGUAAAUUCUGUAUUUUAAUCUCUUCCACUGGAGUUCUUUGUGGACAUAACAUGAACCUGAUACCAAGAAUGUAGUUUGGAUCAUUCAGCAUCAUUAAUGUUGAGGCAGCCAGGAAGUGUGAAUAAUGAAUUGUACAUUGUUGGAUCAAUAAAAACAGUGUUUACAUUCAAAAACAUCCACCUUCAGAAACUCUGUUCAUUCACACUCUCAGUACUUGGUUUGGGCUCCAGUACCAUGAAUUACUGCAUCAGCUCCUGCUGAGGAGUCACUGAGGCUCAGGUUGGUCUGACUGUGACCUUCAGCUCAUCCAGAGUUUCUCAUCUUCAUCUUAAUAAUAACAGAUUCUCCGAGGGGUUCAGGUCAGGAGAGCUGGCUGACCAAUCAAACACAGUAAUAAGCUUUUGGUUUAGUGUGUCUAUGACCAGCUCCUGAGUCCUGCUGGGAAAGGAAACCAGCAUCUCCAUGAAGCUUGUGAAGAGAACGAAGUAUGAAGAGCUCUGAGGUCUCCUGGUAGAUGCUGUGUGGACUCUGGAACUGUAAAGUCACACCAACAGUCUCUGCAGUGUCACAGUUAGAUAGGAAAAACUGUUUUUUACAAAUUAAACACAUCACGUAUGUGGUGUGUUUAUGGAAAACAGUUACUAAUAUUAUUGUCAGCAUGGAUGACAUUAAAUCAGUCUAAAAGUCCUGUCUUGCAGGUCUUUUCACUUUCAUGGAUUCAAUCUGGUUUGGUUUCAAAUUUUUUACCAAAAUAAAAGUAGAAAAUUGAAUUUAGAUCCAUUGUGUAUGUUCCAGGAGUGUGAAAGUCAAUGCAAUAACUGUACAAAGGAAGUCAAAAGAAGGCAGCUAAGGUUAUGAACUGCUGCUAUGUAUGUAUAAGUGUAUGUAAACCUCUGUAUGUACAAACUGUAUGCCACACUGUACAACACUGUCCUUUAUUUCACGCCUGUUCACUGUACUGUUACAAUUACAGUUAGUCUAAAAAGUAAGAAAACCUGUCUUUGGUUGGUUGGUUUCCUUUUUGUAUCAGUAUUUCUUGGCUAAAUGUGCU